CAAAAAUACCGGUCAACCUGAGGCCCCAAAGGAUACUUUGAAUGUAUUUGACUAUGAGGAAAAUAACUGCUAAAAUUCACCUAGAAAUAAUUCUCUCUUUUCUUCUUGUUGCCUUCCCUCAACCGAAGCUGAACUAUUGAGAGAUCACGAUGUUGAGGUUACCUCCAAAUAAGGGAGUAUUCACAAAAAUUUUACCCCUUGAUAGCAAAGCAGAAAAGUCGCCCCAGUUCAGAAGAAAAUCACUGGCCUUCCGUAGACUGACCCAAACUCCUUUUCCAACACUUGAGUUAAUACCAGUAUCAUGAGACCCCAGUCUGUGUUCUUCUUUUUGUUAGUUUGGAAAGAAUGACUAAUCCCUGUAUACUAUUCUUGGACUGUUAUUUUGGCCAGUUUAGGAGGAAUGGAUGAAUACUAAUAACAUCCGACGUUUAUAGCACGUUCAGAGUUUAUAAAGCCUUUUUCCAUUGACUCCUCACAGCAGUUCCCAGAUGAAGUGACUUGACCUGGCUCAUCUGUGACCAAGCGAUGAAGCUAAGAUAUAAACAUGAGUCUUCUGAAUCCAGCCUUCAGUUUUAACUGUGCACUAGACAGGGUUUAAAAGUUUUUCAAAGUGCAAGCGACAAGAGAAAAGACAGAAAACUCACAGAGAGGAAUUCAGUGAAUUGCCCAGCUCAUACAGCUUGUGAAUCGUGGGAAGCGGUCUCCUCCAGAAUCCGCGAGCUUUACCGCCUGGGCACCGCGAAGGAUGCAUAUCCUCUGUGUCUACUCAUUUGUCUGGCACCGCCCACCUCCUCAAUCCCAUUGCAGCUGCCCAGGACCAACGAGGCACUUCCCUUGAAGUGGAAAAGGUUUGCCAUCUGGCUGGCACCUGCUGCUGGUCAGGCAGACACUCUUGUGUCCCUGCUUCUGGAUUUGGAUGAAACAUCCUGCUGCGGGACAUGGGACGGAGAGAAGGGAGACAAUGAUGCAUCCAGGAGUGGCCCUAUGGGGCCAACUGCCACCAAGGGGAAACUGGAGAGAAGCUUGCCCCUCCUCUCUGUCUCCUGUGGCUGUGGACGACUUCGGGGUGAGAGAAGUUCCAUGUGCAGAGCAGACACACACGCAUGACAACCUGUGUUCAACGCAGUGGAGCAUCAGGUCAUAUUGCUUCACAUCCUCCCUUGUCCCACUGCACUUUCCCCAUCCCUGCUGCCUUGGAUCUAUGCCUCCCCAGUGUAGUGUGAGCACUUUAAUCCUUGCCUUGGGCUCUGUUUUCUACAAUGGGGGGGGGGGGGUGGCUAGAAAAAUAAUUAUGCAACAGUGCUCCUCAUUUGAGCUGGGUCCCGAAAGAUGGGUCAGAGACUGACAGGCAGAAGGAUGAGAUAAAGACAUUACAAGUAGAAGGAGUGGGCUGCAGGAAAGCACAAAGGAUAGUGGGAAAUCGUGGGGUUGGGCAGGGGAGUGCAGACAAUGAAAUUAAGAUGUAAUAGAAGGUGGUGGGCGUGGAUGCCUGCUGUAGAAUUGUUGCUGUUUUUUUUGUAAGCAGGCUUCAUACCCAAUGUAGGGUUUGAACUCAUGACCCGGAGAUCUAAGACCUGAGGUGAGAUCAAAAGCUGGACGCUUAACUGACUGAGCCACCUAGAUGCCCCUACCUGCUGUAGAGUUCAAACAUCGUUUUGUAGGCACCAGAGUGAACCAUGAUGACUCUUCAAGGUACGAUGGAUAAAAUAAUUAUAACAACAACAACAACAACUAAUGUUUAUUAAGCACAUACUAUUUGCUAGCCUUUGCACUAAGCAUUUUUCAUAAAUUAUUUUCCUUAAUCCUAGCCAUAGUCCUAUGAGAUGGGUACUAAUUAUUAUUUCCUAAGACGUAGAAAGGUUAAUAAAUUUGCUCAAGGUCACCCAGAUUUUGAACUCCAUAUUGCAUGCUCUUUGCCACCAGGGCUGGGUUUAGAGACAUAACUUCAGGGGAGGUAUAGAGGACUGGUUGGUGGUAGAGACUUUAGAAAUAGAGCUGCUCUGGGGUGCCUGGAUGGCUCGGUUGGUAAAACAUCCAACCUUAGCUCAGGUCAUGAUCUCGCGGUCAACGGGCUCGAGCCCCGCCUCCGGUUCUGUGCUGACAGCUCAGAGCCUGGAGCCUGCUUCAGAUUCUAUGUCUCCGUCUCUCUUUGCCGCUCCCCUGCCUGUGCUCUAGCUCUCUCACUCUCAAAAGUAAAUAAACAUAAAAAAUUAAAAAGAAAAAAAAGAAGUAGAGUUGCUCUGAGUUGAGGAUUCUGCCAACUUUCACAAAAAAGAAGCAGGGAGGAGGCGUAAAACACACCUUUCCUCCUCCACACGCAGUUUUUCCAUUUAUUCAUUCAAGGUAAAUAGUUACAACACAACGGACACUGAUCUUAAAGCCGGGGAUGGACCUUGCGAAUUAGUGAGGGAGGUACAAAUUAAUCCAAGAAUCACGCAUCUAUCAUUGCAGACUACCGUGUGCUCUGGAGGAAAAGCCCAGGGAGUGAAGAGGGCAUAUUCCAGGCAUGGUCUAGCUUGGCAGACACGGAUCCCACUUCGGAAAGUAAUCCCUCUACUGAGAGGCUGGGGAGCUAAUGAAAAGCAGCCAGCCAAUGGAAACAUGGCAUGUGCUAACAUAUUCUGAAAUUUAAUGUGGAUCACAGGAGCCCUCCCCUGUCAGCCUCUGGCACAGUAACUCCAUCUCACAGCGAAGUUCCCAGAAGACACAGUCUGUGACACUCCCGACCCCCCCCCCCCCACCCAAAUCAAGACGCCUCUCUUUCAGAUACUGAGACUCACAAAUAGUGACCCUUCGUCAUUACAGGCAAAAACAGACUGUCUCCUGGAAAAGACAAUUGGCUUCAUGAGGGCCAAGCGGUCAUUCACUUCUGAACUCACAAAAUCAAUGGCACGCCAUUAAGGAGAAAAUACGAAGGAUCUCCAAGAAGCUCUGAAGAAAGGGGAUGUCAUCACUGGGACUUUGGGAAUUUAGUGCCAUGCUCAAGUAACAUAGCCGCUUUUAAGUGGGACCUCCUGAAGCUAGUUCAUACCCCUUUGUGAGGAUGAUGGGAAGGCUGUGGUCUUCUCUGUACCGUGACUUCCCAGAAUAAUGAGGGUUAACAGAGUCUAGCUUUCAGGAAGACUCGGGUAGGGAGAGGUCAAGGGGAGCGCUCACAGACGGCUGGGCAUAUUUCUGUGUUGUUUCAACACAUCAGGAGCAAGAAUUAAGUUACUCGUCCAACACAAAUGAACAAAAUAUGUAAAGACCGUAAAAUAAAACUCAUGCUUUCUUAACGUCUUUGCAGCUGGAGGACACAGGAAUCACCCCACUGACAGCAUGUCUGGUGAUCUCUAAUCCAGACCCUGCUGCCUGCUGCUGCUCUCUUCGAAAACAAAUCUACGCAGGUCUUUGAACCAUCUUAGAUGCCGCUUCAAGAUACUUUUGGCUGAUUACGUAAGGACCAAACUCCUCACUGCAAUACUGAACAUCUUUCACAAUCAAACCAAAAGUAAACACUGCGGGCUCCAUUCUAAUUCUUGGGACAUUUUCCCUCCUCCCUGCCCCCACCUUUCAGAAUCACUUUCUGUUCCUUAGAGAAGCUGGGCCCUUCCCAGCUCUUCGUUUUUGCAUUUGCUAAUUCCCCUUUCCCUUUUCCUCAGUUCCGCCCCAGCUUCAAUGUCACCUGUCUGUCAACCUCUGAGUCUCCCCAACUCCAGCCAUAAUGCAUUGCUUCCACCUUUGCUGUCACGCAGCACGUCGUCCGAUCACUGCUCUGACUUGUCUUGUUUUUACAAUAGGAAUUUUAAAUUACAAUAGGAAUAUAAGCUUAUGUGCUGAUGUUGUAAGAUAUAAAAGUAUACAGAGUAGCAAAUAUGAAUCCCUUCCCCCAUGUUUUGAUUCAGAAGUUCGUUGGUGGGGGUCGGAGAGGUACACAGGUGGCCAUGACUUUAUUCUGCGUGCCAUUUAAUAUCUGAAUAUUUCUUUAAAAAAUUUUUUAAAUUUAUUUUUGAGAGAGAGAGAGAGAGAGAGCACGCAAGCACGAGCUGGACAGGGGAAGAGAGAGAGGGGAACAGAGGAUUCCAAGUGGGCUCCUGGCUGACAGCAGAGAGCCCGAUGUGGGGCUCAAAGUGAGAUCAUGACCGGAGCUGAGGUUGGACACUUAACCGACUGAGCCCCCUAGGUGCCCCUAAUAUCUGAAUAUUUCAUUAAAAAGUGACAGUCUUUCCUUUUCUUUGGCACUCAUCAUCUGCCAGAAGUACUUUUAACAGUUCAUGGUGUACUGGUCUUUCUAGACUUUUGCUGCUUUCAAACAUGUAAAUCGUCGCGUUUACCAGUGCAAUGAUGGUUUAUUCAAAUAGAAUCAUACUGUUCCUAUUGUUCUAUAAUUUUUCAUUAAUAGACGAGUGGUUUCAGGCUGCAAGGAAAUUGAGCAGAUAGUACAGAGAGUUCCCAUUUACUUCCCCUCCCUACCAUGGCUUCCCCUAUUAUUAUCAUCUUGUGUGGUUCAUACGGUAAAAUUGAGGAGCGGUUAUUGAUAUAUUACUAACUGGCGUCCAUAGUUAACAUUAGGGUUCGCCCUCCCUGUUGGGUUCUCUGGGUUUGCCAGAUACAUGAUGUCACAUAUCCACCAUUACAUAGCAUACAGAAUAGUUUCACCCUCCCUAAGGACCCACCGUGCUCUACCCAUUCAUCCCUACCCACCCCACCCCCACCCACCUCAGCCACUGGCAACCGCCCAUCUUCUCUCUGUAUUUGCACUUUUACCUUUUCCAGAAUGUCAAAAGGUUGGAAUCACACAGCACAUUUCCUUUUCAGACUGCCUCCUGUCACUGGGCGAUAUACAUUUUAGGCUUUUCCGUGUCUUUUUGAGGCUAUAGUUUACCUUUCUAAUCGACAUGUUCCCCCCAUAUCCUUACAUGCUUCCUGUACCUUUUUCUCUUCAGCAGCUACCUACGUAUCUUUUGGUACGAUUGUAAAAACUUCCUUAUCUUUUUCCUUCUCAAGGGACAUGUGGGUUUCUCAAGUUUUUUAGCUGCAUAUUUACAUAUCUUUGACUCCCCAUAAACUUUGCACUCCAUAACCAAUAAAACAUGGUGUUCAAUAAACAGCGUUGCUUCUGUUCACAAAGAAGAACUGUAAACACAGGAAAAGGGUGGGUGGUGGUAACUCAAAGCAAGAAGAGGGAAGGUCCCAUAGGGUCCCAUAAGUAGUGGCAGAGGGGCUCAGGGGAGAGAGGGGGUAGCAGGCUGGGAAAAAGCUGGGCCACAAAGACUUAACAGAGGAAGCAGGUUUACAACUGAGUC